UGCGCGCAGAACACUGUCAUCUGACGCACCCAGCGGUUUUGGAAUUGAGCAUGCGCAUUAGAAAGCAGAGACAGUGGAAACUGGCGCCAUUUCGGAUCGGCGCAGCGUCAGCAUUGCAUAGAACACAGCGCGCAAAGAGCCAACAUGGAGAACCCUGCCAUCCAGCUUCAUAACCGCGUCGAGCCGCCCUCGCUUCCACAGGGAGGCCAGCCAAGAAUACGCGCCGAUUCAUCCAGGCUCGCCUUCUGCUGGGACUUGUGCACCUGGAGAGAGGCGGCUGCAGGCGCUGCUGAUUUUACAACACGCUGGCUCCUGCUGUUUAAACUAUUACCGGAUUGGCGUCGACUGGAUCUUCCGUUCAGAGCGGACAGAAAGACAAGGCUGCCUCCCAGUCUCUCUUCACUGCCAGUUACGUCUCCUAGACCAGUGCGCUCAUUAAACUGGGACCAGUAAACCUCACACACUGAGCCACUGCUUUUGCACCAAAAAAAUCUGAAUUUUACAUCCAAAAGAUGCUUUUUACAAAUUAAAAAAAGUGAAAUGUGCAGGCGUCUGUCUGUAAGCCUUUCUUUCUUCCAGAGCGUUUGAAGUCAUGGGGAGAUUUAAAUAAAAAUCUACACUGUUGGAAA